ACCAUGAAACUCUGCAGAAGUGACGGAGACGUGGCCUAGAGAGAGUGACGAAGGAGCUCAAUUUGAUUUUGCAAUGUGUUUUACAAUUAGGUUUUGAGUUAGAUUGAUUUCUGGAUUUAAAUUUUUGGGGCGUUCAGCUUUGUCUUUUCUGUUAAGCCAUCACUUUAAUUUUUUGGGGCGUUCAGCUUUGUCUUUUCUGGAUUUUGCGCUGGCCCCUCGCGCAAAACCUCCCCCACUCUGUUUUCCCCGGCGCGUGCGGGUUCCUUCGGCCUUCCCGGCGCACGCAGGCGCCAUCCCCACCUGCUCGCCUUCGAUUCGUAGCCGCCGUUGGCAUCCCCCGCGGGUCGAGGAUGCCUCCGGCCUCCCCGGCGGGCACGGGCGCUGGCCCCUCGCGUGAAACCUCCCCCACUCCGUCGAUCCGAAGCAGCGAGCUCGCUCGUAGGGUCGAGUUCUGCGAUGUUCGGCUGGAGGUGACCACGGCGACGUCGGACGUCCGGUCAGUGCCUUUACCAAGUUUUGCUCCGCCAAGUGUUUUGAUGUAGUGGUACACGAUGUGGGUAACCUACACUGAGGGAGAGCAAUUUGAGUGGCAAUAGGGCUGGAGCAUUCGUCGGUCCAGCGGAUGACGAGGUCUGGGAACAUCACGAGCUGUUGCCUGCAUCACAGUUGGGAGGUGAAUGACUGAGUGUAUUCCAUCAUUUGAAUAUAUAAUUUCUUAUAGACUAGAUUUGGUGCUUCCCCGGAGUUACUCUCUUGUAAUGGAAGAAUGAUUUAUUGUCAGUAUGCUGCUCACAGGAGCACGCAAUUCUGCAUUAGAGCUAAGGAAAACAUUUAUAUUAUAGAUACUGCUUGCUUUCCAUUAAGAAAUUAUUUGCGUUAUUGCUAUCCUAUCUCAUUUAUCCUUACAGUCUUGCCUCAACCAGCUAACUGCUGCGUCAGGUACAUAGCUGUUCACCAUUUCAGGUUUCAGUACAUUUUACAAUCUAAGUGAUCAGUCCUUUAGAGGCUUCAGGUUCAGCUGUGGCCACCAUGACUACAAGCUGCUAAGAGCGACAGCCAUGUGGAGCACUGCAGGUUCCAUGAGUUGUGCUAAUAAAUGGGUUAACAAACAUGUUGUGGUCAGCAUUGAGUUCAUCACCUGUCUGUUCUUCCUGCUAUUCCAAUAAGAUUUGAGAGGAAGGCUGAGGUGCUAAAUCACAGAAUCAUGUUAGCAUAAAUUAUUGGGAGCUCAUGGAUCUUUUUUCUUCUCCAUUUUCUAUUGCUUUAAUCUAUUUACCCUCAGAUUCGGGCAAUGGAUUCGGGCUCAUGAUUCUUUCAGAUUCCAAAUGUUCAUUGACACUUUUACUUUUGUUCGACCAAUAGAACACACAUAAAACAUUAAUACAUUAUUUGAUUGACGUAA